ACCUACGGGAGGCAGCAGUGGGGGAUAUUGCACAAUGGGGGAAACCCUGAUGCAGCGACGCCGCGUGGGUGAAGAAGCGCCUCGGCGCGUAAAGCCCUGUCAGCAGGGAAGAAAAUGACGGUACCUGACCAAGAAGCUCCGGCUAAAUACGUGCCAGCAGCCGCGGUAAUACGUAUGGAGCAAGCGUUAUCCGGAUUUACUGGGUGUAAAGGGAGCGCAGGCGGCCUUGCAAGUCUGAUGUGAAAGGCCGGGGCCCAACCCCGGGACUGCAUUGGAAACUGCGAGGCUGGAGUGU
rnacentral:rRNA from 1 species